UUAUUUAUUUAUACAUGUACAGUGUGUAAAAAUAAUUAAUAACUGUCAUAAAUAAGUGAAUGUUGUACAUGAUAAAUAGUUGUCGUCAAAUAAUACACGACUUGUCAGAAAAGUAAAAUACAAAUAUGAAGGCAAAAGCCAAUAUCGACAAUGGACUAAAAAGUGCGAUGUGAUUUGCUCCCUGCUGCGCUUUCGCUAUUCUGUUGAAAGGAAUGCUAAGUAAAUGCUUUCUUCUGGUGUUGUACUCGUGGAAGUCGGCGUUGGUUCGAAACUUCUCGAGAUUUCGGUGGACAUAAGUCACGGCAGCGAGGAUGAAAACCGAAGUGCAGGAAAAGAUGAGUUGAAGAGAUCUACAAGAGUGCAAUGAAAGUUGCCAUACUGCACCCCAGCGUUUCCAUUCCAUAUUAGUUCCCAGUUUAUGGAUCUGAUUCCUUCUAUGAAAUGGUCUCGUGAUUGCAGUUGGUAUCCUCAAGAUUUGUGCCUUAUGGUCCGACAAGAAGGGCUCAUAGGUUUCCUGCACACACUCGCUCUCUGUUACAUUCGUGAACAUAUUAUCUAUACAAGUACUCGAAUGUAUUGUCACUCUAGAUGGUUCUGUGAAAAUAUAUCUCAUACUGUACAUUUUGAGCAUUUCAAUCAACUUAGUUUUAUCUUUGGAAGUCUUGAUGAAAUCUACAUUAAAAUCGCCAACCACCAAAAUUCUAUCAUCUCCGCAGCUCCCGAGGCAUUCCUCCAGUACACAUUCGAG